rnacentral:rRNA from 1 species
GGUAAGUCCCGCAACGAGCGCACCCUUUAUUGUUAGUUACCAGCACGUAAUGGUGGGGACUUUAGCAAGACUGCCAGUGAUAAAUUGAAGAAAGGUGGGGACGACGUCAAAAUCAUCAUGCCCCUUAUGACCUGGGCUACAAACGUGAUACAAUGGCUGUUACAAAGGGUAGCUGAAGCGCAAGUUUUUGGCGAAUCUCAAAAAAACAGUCUCAGUUCGGAUUGAAGUCUGCAACUCGACUUCAUGAAGUUGGAAUCGCUAGUAAUCGCGAAUCAGCAUGUCGCGGUGAAUACGUUCUCGGGGUUUGUACACACCGCCCGUCAAACCACGAAAGUUGGUAAUACCCAAAGCCGGUGGCCUAACUUCGCAAGAAGAGGGAACCGUCUAAGGUAGGGUCGAUGAUUGGGGUUAAGGGGGAUCCUCUA